rnacentral:siRNA from 1 species
GUUUUAACAAGCGUGUCAAAUGAG